GACGAACGCUGGCGGCGUGCUUAACACAUGCAAGUCGAACGGAAAGGCCCUGCUUGUGUGGGGUGCCCGAGGGGGGAAGGGGUGAGUAACACGUGAGUAACCUGCCCUUGACUUUGGGAUAACUUCAGGAAACUGGGGCUACUACAGGAUAGGAGCUGCCGUUGCAUGGUGGGGGUUGGAAAGUCUCGGCUGUCGGGGCUGGACGCGCGGCUUACGAGCUUGUUGGUGGGGUAGUGGCUUACCAAGGCUUUGACGGGUAGCCGGCCUGGGAGCGUGGCCGGCCACAAUAGUACUGCGGGACGCACCAGAGUGGAACAUGGGGCAGAGGGCGGAAGUAUUGUACAAUGAGCGGAAGCGUGUGACGACAGCGCCGGGUGCGUGAAGACGGCCUUCGGGUUAAGAACCGCAUUAGGCUGUGACGAAGCGUGUGUGACGGUACUGAGUGAAGAAGCACCGGCUAACUUCGUG
rnacentral:rRNA from 1 species